UUUAAAAAUUGGACCAUAACAGCUGCCAAUCUAAUUUUCCACUCUAGAUAGAUAUUUUAGAACUCAAAGGCCUCUUACUGUGGUGGGACUUUCUGUGUAGCACUGUUCUUCCUCAAAGUCCAAAAUAAUCUACUAAAAUGCACAUGAGAAAGGAAAACAGACCCCUCAGACACAAGCUUGGCUGGGAGGGUGACAGCGAUGACUCCACUGCCAAAAUUGUGGAAAAAAAUUAGUUUUACAGUCUGGGCUGAAAAUUGGAGAAUUGAGUCCGCUUGACACAGGCCUGCCUUGGCUGCUCUGGAGAAACUGAAGAAACACCAAGCGUUAUUUUGAAAUACCACCUUCUUCUCCCUGUGCUUCUCCUUUCUAAAACUGCUGCAGGUCUGGCAGAUGUGUGGUCAACCCUUGAUCUCUGCAAAGCCAGGGUCAUUGAAGGACAUAGCAGCUAACCAUGAAGACAGCCACGUGUUUGGAGAAGAUUCAAGCCUUGUCUUUAAAUCUUCACGCCCUGAGAAAAAUGACAUUUAAAAACCAGCAUCCAGUCUUAAGCUUCUGGCAGCUGGCUGUCAAGCAUGGAAGGCAGAAGGCAGGGGGAGGAAGGUCUUAUCACAUCAUUUGUCUCCCCUCUCCAUGUUUCCCCACCAGUGGUUUUGAGGGAGCUCGGUUCAUGCCAGGACUUCAUGGUGUGCCCAGCUGAUGCUGGCUCUGAGCUGCUUUUCUGUCCCCUGUGAGCUGCUUGUGCAGUUCUGAGUGUGCCAAUGCCUGUCACUGGCUUUUCUCUCCCUCCAGGGUGGCCUGAGAGCCUUCCUAUUUUCCCAAAAAUGCGUACCUUGGAGCAUACAGACUUUGGCAUGGUCUAAACAAGAUUUGGGGACAGUAAAAUGCUGUUUGCCAAAGUCAGGAGGUACAACUGUCAAGAGGCAACAGCACUGUCCCCAUCCAGGGGUGCUGGGGACGUGGAAAUUCUGCCCUGAGCACAGAAGGCAAACAUAAUCCAGAUGUCCCUGAGCUUUCUCUGGGUAUAUUUCCUGGAUUAUUGCCCUGGGAAGUGAUGAGCAUGGCUGUAAAAGAUGGAAGUAGGAGCUUGCUCUAUCUGGAUGAAGGUGCUGGACACUGAGACAUGGAAUGGCUUCCCCUGAGCUGCCAUGGUCACUCUGCCUCAACUGAUUAAAAACUCAGUCAGACGCUCAACAAAACUCUGUUUAUCCUUGCUGGAUGUCAUGUUUUGCAUUUUUGCUAUACUUAAACCACAGGAUAAUGCUCCUGUGCAUGAUUAAAAUACGAUAGAGCCCCCACUGAAGCACCUGCCUUUCCAAGGAGCUUAAGAAGUAUUUUUGGCAAGCACUCCAGUGACCAUUGGAUUCCCAUGAGUAUGUGCAGCCUGAGGCUUUGGUGGUGUGAAUAUUCUGAAAAAGCCUGGAAACUGAUUUAUGGCUGGGAUGCACAGAGGCUUUGGAGACAGGGGAGAGAUGAUGGCUUGUUAUCUAGAGGUGCUUUGUUGUUGGACCACAGCUGUGGGUGCACCCAUGGUGGGCCCACCCAUCCUGUAGCAGACGUGCUCGUGGUCUUACCAGUUGCUUCCUGCCACAGGAAAAUGCCAGUUUAUGUUGAGUUGAGUUUAAAAUAAGGGGAUUUGCUAAUGUUUGAAGUAAAAAGUGUUGGUGCCAAUGGGAUCCAUUCAUCCAACAGCUGUGGUGGCUCUGCUGGGUUCACACAGCUCUAGCUGUCUAUUUCAGCAUGAUUCUGUAAUCAUGUUCUUGUCAACACAGGAUCUUCAUAGAAUCAUAGAGUAGUUUGGGCUAAAAGAGACCUUGAAGCAUUAUCUAAUCUGACCCUCCUGCCAUGGGCAGGGACACCUUCUGCUAGACCACGCUGCUCAGAGCCCUGGCCAGCUUGGCCUUGGACAUUUCUAGGGAUAAUUCAUCCACAGCUUCUAGGGACAACUUGUGCCAGUGCCUCUCCAUACUAAUUGUGAAAAAACUUCUUUAUCUCUAGUCUAGGUCGGGGAUUUUUUUUUUUGGCAGGGAGGGGGAUAGAUGAUGGAAACUUGCCUGUGUUUCAUAUCAGCCUUCCUUGAAACGUGAAAAUUUACUUUUUAAAAUUGCUAUGACAGCAGGAACUUGAAUCAAAUCUUAAAUCUCCAUGAAACUGUGUUAGUUGUGAAAGUCCCUGCUUCCUGGGGGUUGGGAGGAAGUACCACAGCUGCUGGAAGGGACCAUCAGGUAUUGCCAAAUGCAUGGAAAAAUAAGGCCUGGGACCAGGGAGCAAAUCUGCUCCUGAGCAGGUCUGUGAGCCCUGCCAAGGGCAAUGGAGCAUCCUGUGAGCACUGCUCCAGCUCCUGGCUCCAGGCCGGGUCUGCCUGCUGGAGUAUGGUGUUGGUUGGCAAAGGCAGAUUGGGGCAUAUCAAAUCAGCUCACAAACUUGUAUGGAGUUAAACUUUGUGUAGUUUUGGUUGAGAAAUGGCCCCAAAGCUUGAGUUUAUUUUAAAGGAAAUCUCUCAAGCUGUGUUUCAGUAGAACUUGUUUUCUAAGUAAUCUUAAACUAAGGGGAAGGAGGAGAAAUUACUGCAAAGCCAAAUUUUGGUGAGUCUUGGCUUGCUGUUGCCAAAUCUGGCUGAAGUGCUGAUGCUUACAAAGCAGAGCGACCUUUGUGGAGAGCCAGAUGCUGCCUGUGAGCCGAGCUUGCCAGGGGAGAAUAAAUCUCCCACGUACUCCGCUCCGGAGAGCACAACCGAGCCUGCGAGGAGGAAGCAGCAGCACAAAACCUGAGGGAUGCAGACGCAGCCCUGAGGGUGCAAUGUCAGAGCUGCUGGUGUUUGCCUGAAGGCUGACUCAGACUGAGCUGAUGCCCAGGUGAAAGAGCUCAUGUAUCCUAUUCAGGUGUUCAUCUGCCGUGGGCAAUGAUGUCCUGCUGCUGGGCUCAUCAGCAGUGUUUGGAGAAGACAGCCUCCUUCCCAGCAGUGCACACAGCACAUCGCAGUGGGGACAGGUGCUCUGCAGCCCCCGUGCCUCCGCUUCUGCACCACGCGAGGAAAGUCCCAUUCCCUGGAGACACGGGUGGCCAAGGGCAGCGUGGAGGCCUUGACUGCACCAAAAGCGGCUUCUGUGGUGUCUGCACUCGGCUCCCAUGCAGCACCUGCACCCCUGGGGGUGCUGGCUGGGAGGGAGUCGAGGUCUGUCUGCAGCGCCUGUUCUGCGUUUUUAAGCGAGGAGGCAGCCGAGGAGCAUCCCUUGGAGGUGUGUGUGUGUGUGAGUGACUGGGGUGGCUGCUCUGCUGUACUCACACUGAGCAGCUCCGAGCCAGGGAGGACAAACCCAAGAGCCGGGUGUCCCCCAAGAUGUGCCACCACACUGCACUUUAUGGGGGAACCUGUGAUGCUGCAGGGAUUUAAAGGCAGCCUCACCUCUGCAGGAAGCCUCCUUUGUAUCAGAGAACCCCCUUCCUCCUUCUCCUCCUAGGAUUAAGUUAAGGGUGAGGAGGAUAAGGUGUUUUUACUCCCAUUUUUUGAAAUGUAUACAGGUAAAGUUUUGCCCAGUUCUUUCUUAGUGACGAUUUUAGAAAGCAAGUUGUAUCUCUCACUGCUUGGACACCAAACCCCCUCUGUUUGAACAAGCCCUGAACUGGAAACUCUGCAUUUGGGUUCAGUCCAAAGCUGGGUCCCAGUAAGCUCUUGACUGUGACGUACCUGAUUUUAAUUCCAAACUAAAUGACCAUGGAUGCCAGGAGUGGAGAGUCCAACUCUCAAAUCCUCACUUAAAUUAAGAAGUAAGAAGAAACCAUAACUUCAGGGAAAUGUAUCUUGAGUGAUGUUUCCUGGCCUCUUUUACCCCCUGGAGAGCAAUAGAUCUUAAUAGAAAAUGGCUUUCUUGCUGGUUCUUGUGGCUCAUACUCUAUGAAAGAGCAAGAAUAAUUCUCCCUGCCCGAAGAAAACCUGCACUGGAUGGCUAAAAACACUAUUAGAAAGAGCUGUGAAGUCCUGCAGGUUUCAGGGUAAUUCCAUUAUCUGCACUGCUUUGCAUCCUGUAGGAUUUUCCCACAGGGUAUGGUUUCUCAGGCAGCUUUAGCUGUGUACACCAGCAGCCAGGCAUCUACAAAAGCCAAAAUAACAUCAUUUCUUCUCCUGAAUAAUGGGCAUUUUACCUCUCUUUCUAUUUUCUUCUCUAUUUCAGAAGCACCCUGAGGUUAUGCCCAGAUGUUAAUGCCUUCAUACAUUUGGGUUUUCUACUCUCCUGCCACACUUCAAGGUUGUCUAAUCCCUUGAUGGCAGCAGGAUGUGUCCCUGUGACAAAGGGGGAGGAUGUGGAUGAUCUGGUCCCACUGCUGCAGACACCCCAGUGCCUCUGGGUCCCAGCACAGCACCUCACACACAAGCCUUGCACCCAGAUGUGCAUUCCUGGCUUAUCACAGAGCCUGGAAGGGCUUUGGCAGAUGCCUGGGCAUUCUGAAGACACAAGACUGGGAACUUAGAAGCAGGUGGCAGAGAGCAAUAGGAGAGUUCAGUUGUUGCUCGUGGGGUUUCCCUUAGCUAGGAAGGAAAGUCCUGCUCUCAGUCUCCCUCUGGCAGCCAGCACCAGGUCACACGAAUUUCUUUUCUCCUCAGCCUCGUCCUCAGCAGGGAUUGUGUCGCUCAUGCACAGACUGGUGGGAGCCCUCAACCCUGGGUGUUUCUCAGUGUGGAUAAUAUUGCUGCAGCACGCACAGACUGGCUGAGCAGAGAGAUCUGUGAGAGAGCAGUCUCCAAACAGCUUAAAUGCUUUAUUCUGGGGCUGUUGGACAAGCCAUUGAUGCUUUCCAGCUCUGUGUGCUGGUGCCUUCCCAUACACUACAUGGAUUUUUCAUACUUUUUCUCUGCUCUAGAUUUGUUCAGGUGUUUCUCUUACAUCAGGUAGUGUAAGCAGCUCUUUUUCAAAAUAACCAGCAAAUAUCCUGAUCUAUUGAAAUCCUUGUACAAACUCCUGCUGAUCUCCCUGGCCUUGCCUGUAUUGGUGCUAAGGGACGUUUUCCUGGUACAAACCUCGCAAGUAACAGCAUGUGAAAGCUGACUAUUACAGCUUCUCUUUGAAGCUUCUGUGAUUUCUAUUACGUGACAGCGCUCACAAAGUUUCCAACUCGUUACUUAUCAGGGCUGGAGCCUCUGGUGAUGACAAAAAUGGGAGGUUUUUCUACAAACUUCCUCAGGCAGCCACAGCAGGUUGGUCAUUAAGGGCUCUGUGCACAAGUUCAUCCUGAAGUUGAGCAGAGCUUCACUUCCAAUUUCCCCUGCUAUCCUUCACCCUUGUUCUGUGUUCCCUUUGGGAGACCUGUUGUAGUGAAUUUUUUUAUUCCCCCCUAUAUCUAACAGAGUUUGAUUUGGCAACUGUCCAGGAGAGAAAGGACUUGCAAUUGCUUUGUCCUUUGGUGAUUUAGGUUAUUGCAGCUUCAUGGUUUGCUGUUGGGAAAGCGAUUAAGAGAAAAAAGUCCCAUCUGUGACUGAAAAUGGACUUUUAGUGAUAAAAAAUGUCCCUGGGUUAUCUCUGAGGCUGCUGCAAUCUCCAGCAUUCUUCUUUUUCCGUUUUUUCUCAUCUUUAAUAUUUUUUUUCUGUUAGGUCUACCAUUUAUUUCCCAGGUCCUUUGCAUUUGAAGGAUAUUUCUUCUCCCUUUCUGCUUGGACGUGUGCAGAUGGUACUUUAGGCAAAUUAAAUGCUGUGUGUUGGAAACAGGGGCAGAAUCCAAACGUUUUGAGGAGCUCUGGGUCAAAUGUGCUGAGAGGUGGCUGCAGACAGGUUGAGCUGAGGACCAGAGACACUUGAUAUUUAUGGGGUAUCCUGCUGGUGAGGGAGGUGGGGAUCACCCUAGUAGGAAAAAGGAAAGGAAAAGGACCCUGGUCCUGCUGGCAAGCUGCCAAAGUAAGGAAAUGCCACUUUAUCCACAGGAGGACAGAAGAAAUGCCAAAAAUGGCAGGUGGUGAGGUCAGAAAAGGAGGAGAAAGCAAAAUAGCACCAUGACAUCUGUACACAUGUGGCUGAGCAUUGGCAAAAUAAAAAAUAAAAAUAAAAUGGUGUAGACAGUACCUUGCUUGCACAGACUAGGGCUUAAAUAGCAUUACAGGGAUUUGGCAGGAUGAACAGAAGUUGCUGGGAAAGGGCAAGCGAGGAAUGAAGGAGAGCACUGUACCAAGAACGAGGGGUGUUUGUCCUGUAGGUUAGCAAGGGGCUGGGAACUUCAGUGUGGGCAACUUAAAAGGGGUGAGACUGGAAGGGAGAGACCUCACGUGAGUUAAGAGGAGUAGAUGGGUGGAUGUGAGUGACCCUUAAAGCCCAGAGUACCUCCAGCUUGGUGGUAAAUGGCAUCUUAAACUCCGUGAGGAGUGAUACAGCAGGACAGAGCUGUUCAGUUCCCUGGGUGUGUUAGUGCAACAGCUCCUCUCUAACGGUGAUGAGGGCUGCUGGAAAAGCUGCUAUUUUGAGCUUGAUUUGGGAUAAUAGAGCAGAACUGGCUGAAAGAAGUGGAAGGUGAUUUCAGGAAAUGUCAUGAAAUGGUGGAGCCAAGAAUGCCAUGAGAAAGGGAGUGAAAACAGCAGAGGGAGGAUAAUGGGCUGCAAAACUCCCCGGGAAUCAGGCAGCAACCCCUGGGAAGGUAAUGCAAGGGCUCAGGGAGCACAGGGAAGUUGGCAAUUACCUAAUGUGACUGCGUUAGGGGCACCACAUCCCAAGGAACAAGAGGAAGAUGAUGCAGGGAUUUGAUGGACCUCAGACACAGAGAAGAGCUGCAGAAAAGAGGAUGGUGCCAGAGACCUGGCAACGGGACCAAGGGGCAGAGGCUGCACAGCUACAAGCUGGAGAUGAGAAGGUGCAGAACAAGCUCCACUGGGUGCCCAUUUUAAAGCUGGGCAAAACCCUUUUGUAAAUGCACAGGGAGGAGGAGAGCUGGGGAAAGCCCCGGCGUGUUGCUCAAAUGAAGGGAUUCAUUGUGGACUUCGCUUCAGCCUUCCCUUGCACCCAGCUAAUUAGAACUGGAUGAUUAAGCAGGGCAGGGGUCCAACUUGAACAGAGAGCAGAAGACCUGCCAGGGUGUUUAGAGCAGUCAGGUGUGCUGGCAUUAACAGGACGUGCUGAAUUCCCCCUUGGGUGUACUUCCAGAGAGAAUCCAACCUUGGAAGCGUUCAGGGUUUUUCCAAUAUUGCGGGGCGGGCUGGGAGCUGCGCUGGGGCAGCUUCAAGAGUUAAAGGCUUCAAAACGAGCAGUGCGAGAAGAUGUUUGAUUAAGAAAUCAAUCUGUAAGAACCUGGAGGAUAAUGAGGUUGGAAAGUGACACCUGGCAUGGGUUUGUCAGGGGCAAGCGGAGUGAAAUGAAUGUCAUUUUCUCCUCUGACAGGAGAACCAGGCUCAUGGAUGGGGGAGAGGUGCUGGAUGGGACAGGACUGGGCGGGUGGAGUGUGCCAAGCAGCCUUGGCAGUGUGACCUGCUCUGCAGGGGGGGCUGGGGACCUUGAGCUCAGCUUUGGGGGGAGGUGAAGAGCUGCCUCAUCACACAGGAUUUCAAACAGCUGCCUCAGUGCAUGAUGUCAUCACCUGCUUUCUGAGUUGUCCCCUUAUGCUGUUAGUGCCUAUGCUGCUGCAGGAUGUUGUGCUCGCUUUUGCGUAGCUCUGUCCUUCCUCGUUCUUUCCUGUGGUCGUCAAAUAGUCCCCAUCAUCGUCAGCUCUGCUGGAGUGGCUCUUCAUCCCUGUCUUUGUGGUGGGCUGCCCUUACUGGGGGGUGAGGCCAUCAGUAGCUGCUUCCCCCAUCUCUGCCUCUUCGGUUCAAGACUCUGAAAGGCAACCCGGCCCUUAAGCGAACAUUGCAGGACUUGCCCAGGUCAUUUGUCACCGUGCUUUUUAUUGUCUCCUCCUCUCUGAACCUCAUGCUACAGCACAGCAUCCCUCCUCCCCGGGCUCUGCACCUCCACUUUGCAUCUCUGGGGACAGCGGUCCUGCCGUGCUCAUGGCGUGCCUACGUUUGUCUUAAGGAUUGACCCUUCAGUUAUUAUUAGACUCGUGGUCACCUCCAGCGCAGCCUGUCAUGAUGAAUCAGAAACAGAAUCUUCUCUGCAUCAUAGUCCUCCUUAAACCGACCAUCCCCUUCUACCUGCUGCAGUCAUCGCCUCAUUAUAACUCCAUUACCUUUAACAACAACCCCAUUACCAUCCAUUAUCUUUCUUAUCAUCUCCUUUACAAGGCUGUUAUUUGCACCUCCUCCUUUACAGCCAUCCCCUCUUCAAUUACGAUUCCAUUAUCUUUAUUACCACCCCAUUACAGCCAUAAUUAUUCCCAUUACAAUUUUGAGAACUGCAUCUCCAUCCAGACAAGUCGGUGUCUCCAGCAGCCCUAUCCCCAGCUUCUCUUGCUCCAUGUUCCUCAUUGCUUUCCUCCAGCCUCCCUGCAUUCCUAACUAUCCCCAUACCAAUGGUUGUAUUCUAAUUAUUUUUCAUUAUGGUUUUAUAGUCUUUUGCUGUUAUUGCUUCCCUUAUCAGCCAUUCUCAUCUCCCUGAGGUAUCAUAGCUGCGGUGGGUACUGGGGUGGGAGCUGAGGCUCGGGUCAGUGAUAUUAUUCUGAUCUGCACCAGCCCUGAGCAGGUAAUUACAGCCCAUCCUGUCCUCUGCAGUUCCAGCACUUAAUCUCCAUUGCGGCCCUAAUUACUGAUGUUAUCUGUCUGUUAUCCUUCAGCCCAUCUCCCUUGCAGCUUCCCAGGCAUGACCAUCUCCUCCAGCCACUGGUGCCUCCUGCCUGGGCAGAGGAGCAGCCCUGACCCUGCCUGAUUUUCCAUCCCUGGCACUGGACAACGGCUCUAGGGAUUUUCCCCCCUUUUAAAUUAAAAUAAUAUCUGCGUGAUAUUAGCAAAAAUGGUUUUGUCACAAGGAUUCAUAAAUUCUCCCAGUGCAACACUAAGUGUCACGUCCCAGAGAGGUUGUGGAGUCUCUUUUCCCUGGAGAAAUUCCAAAGACAUUGGGACACAUCCUGAGUAAGGUGCUCCUGCUCGAGCAGGGAGGUUGGACAAGAUGACUCCAGUGCUCCCUUCUAACCUGAACCGUUCUGGGAUCCCGCUGGUGUUGCUGUCACCAUGGUUUCAGCUGCGUACCCCCCAAGAGCUGCCAGACCUGCCUCUGCUCCGUUCAUACCUCUUUCAUCUUCCAGAAGCCACACUGGGGCCUCAGGAGCAGCCCUCGGAAGCUUCUUCAUCAGCACUACGAGGCGAGAAAAGGCUUCUUGACUGGCAUGGAGUGGGUUGCGCCCUUUAGGGUGCCAGGGAGGAGUUGGGUACUGCACUAUAUCCUGAUCCAGCAGAGGACAAGAGCCUGACAGAGGGUCCAGUGCCCACGCUCCUCGAGAGGACAUUGAGGGAUUGGGGUGGUUACAGAGAGAGUCACAAAACUUCUCGGGGAUGGGGAAACCGCCGGCUUUGGAGAGCUCGGUCUGCUUCGUUUAUCACGAAGAUUGAGAGGUGACUUCAUGGCUUCCUGCAAGAACUGUCACGGCAGGGAAAUACUAAAGGAGGUACUAAAGAGCCCUUUACAGCGGGAAAGGCAGCACGGGAGCGAUGGCUGCGACCUGAGGCAGGCAAAUUUGGAUGACUGAUGCAGCGUGCGGGUUUCAGUGAAGGCCAUGCCCAUCUCCAGUGGCUCCAGGAGACGGCGAGGUGGGUGCGAUAUUCCUCACAUCCCUGAGCCCUGUGGGCAGAGAAGCUGGUAGCAGCUUGCAGGUAAUUAACAGUUCUGGUGUAAGAGGGGAUGUAGCUCAUGUUGGAACGCCCCUGGGUUGUUUCCCACAAUCGAUAGGCUUCAUAAAUAAUGUAUCCCCCAGGGGGAAAAGCUACCUUGCGCUUAUCAGAUUUUGUACUUGUUUGGCUUAGCGAUGCUAAGAGGGAAUAGGGCUCGGAGGGAGAAACGGGAGCUAUAAAUAAGCACAGGGGAGCGUAGGUACAGGCCCAGGCAGGAGGCUCGGGCUGGGUGACCCCCGUGCUGUGCAGCUCCCCCACAGACACCCCCGGGGAGCUCUGGAAUGGAAAAGCCGAUUGGAAGCGAAUGAAGGGAGAGCGAGCUGCCGUGCAGGGCUGUAAACAGCUCCCAGCACCACACUGUGCCCCCCUGCAAAAUCUGGGGGAAUUUUUCCUAAUUCUAGCUCGGUUAAGGGCGACCAAAGGAAGGGAGACAAAGCACUUAGCAUCACUUUCCUAUUAUUUCUUUGCUUCACUGCCUGUCAGGGCACCCGACGGAGCUGAGCUCGCUGCAAAGCACGGGGCAGUGCCCUCCGUGAGGGGCGCGGGGCACUAUUGCUCUGCCAUUCCCACGGGGAUUUGGGAAGAGCAUUUAAACACCCAGCCAUGGCCUCUCCACACCUCAGUGACAGCCUGGGAAAGGCUGAAUGUAACACGGGACAGCAGGAAAUGUAAGCUCUUUAGGGAUCAAGGGAAAACAUUUGACUGAAAAAUUGGGAAGCAGCACGAGGAUGGAGACUGGUCCUUCUGGCUUUUGGGUUUGACCCAUACCCACAGUUUUCCUCUUAAAAAGCGUAGACUGGGAUUUCCUGAGAGAGCAGAUGCAAGAGCUGCUUCUGUACUGUGACCUGACGCCUGCACUUUGGGUUUUAUACUAAAUAAAAGGAGCGAGGAGCUGGCAAGAAGCAGACAGCGUGGUGGGAAACAACUUUGGGAUUAAAAUAACACCCUCGGUAAGCCCUGGCUAGCAGGUUUGUGCUGCCCAGGCUGCUCACUGCACAGCUGGAGCCAGAACAUCUGGGAGGGUUUAUAAAUUAAAAGGAAACACAGGUUUCCUUGUUGUAAAACACAGUUAUGAUGGGCAGUAGAGCACAGAGGUUCUUACGAGCUCCAACGAGAUGGAAAUUUUUGGCGAGGUCAGUAAAUAAUUCUGGGGUUGGAGCGUGGUAGCGCAAUCUUCCACAGAGCUCCCUAGGAGGGGCUGAUCCUGGUGCUUGUUAGCCCACGUUCCCUAAGAGCAGACUGCAAAUAAUCCAUCACCUCCGGCCUGGGACCCGGCCCGGGCAGAAAAGCUUUUUGCACCCAUCCACUGCAAUCGCAGAGAGCAGCCAGGGGCUGGGGGCAGGAGCAGGGGCAGGAGCAGGAGCAGCGCUGCUGGGCUGAGCGGGGAGCGCCCAGGGGAGUCUUUAACUGCAGCUCCAUUACAGCAGCGAUACAGAGCCGAGGGGAUCAUUUAUUUACUGUCUCCACACAGAGCUUCACUCCUCGCAAGAGCGGCCCCAGGCAGGUGCUGGGGACAUCUCCCUGCUCUUCCCCUGCCCGGGGCUUUGCUGACAGGCGCUGUUCUGCGUGUGCCCGGCCUAGGAACGCCGUGUACAGCUCUGAGGCGAUGAAUAUCUGCUCAGCGGGGGCUGGGUGUGCUCCCUUCUGCCCCGGCAGUGCUCUCGGAGCUGGGACGGGUACUCACUGGUCCCCACUGGCUCCAAAGCUUUGCUCUGGAGCCUGGCUGCUGGACCACUCAGCUGCUUCGUGGUUUCAAUUUCACCUUUUGUGGGGCUGGCACCAUCUUCUGAUCUAAUUUUGCUCCAACCCGUAACCUUAGCACGCCCAAGCCUGGCUCACUCCGAGGAGCUGCUGCGCUGGGAGCGGCAUUGCUCUGCAGGGACUGGAAGCCCCCAUGGGUGCUCUCCAUCGCCGUUCCUCAAAGCAAUCCCGUGCUGAUGAGGUGAGGCUUGUUAAAGCUUUCCAGCCCCCGCCAAGGGAGCCCGAGCCCAGAUGGUCUGAGCAGAUUACUGCUGCCUCCUGGGCCAUCCAUCCCAGGCACUUUGGCAGGCCUGAAUUUCCUCCAAAUGACAAAAUGACAAAAAUAAAU